CAGCAGGCGUGCAGGCCGAAGCACGCUGGAACGGCGCUCGAAGAAAGCUAGAAGUGAUGACAAAGCAUGACUAAAAGCUAAAGCUAAAAGCUAAAGCUAGGAGCAGGCUAAAAGCCGGCAUGACUGAUAGCAAAAGCUAAACGAAAGCUCAAAGCUAAAAGCAUGACUAAAAGCUUAAACUACAAGCAAAGCUAAAAGCUAAAUUUGAUGGUGUCCUGAGUAUUUAAACUGGCCUUUUGGCCACACCUCAAAUGUUGUCUUGACCAAUUAGAUAUUGUCUUUUCUCGGGGUGUUGUGUAACCCAGGGUAAAUAUAAAUAGAAAAUAAUAGUAAAAAUAAUUAGUAAAAGUAAAAUAUAAAUAGUUAUUUUUAUUAAAAUAGUUAUUAUAAAAUGGCUAUUUUCCCCAGUCACAUGAACACAUCCUUCAUUCACAUUUUUGUGCAGGAGUCACAUGGUAGUCUCAGUGAAGGCUUAACCAAUCAUGGCACUUAAGAGCGUUUAUAAGCUGCGGUGAGUUUCCCCAAUCAGUAGGGUGAGGGGGAAGCCACCGGAGCAGCUGCACUCGUGUUCACCAUCGUUGUCUUUAGAAGCCGACUGGUGCCGCUGUGCGUCGAAUAUCUGCGGGAAUUGGCCAGGUGCGGCCAGUUGCGGGCCAGUUGAUGGCGAGCCAUUAUUACUUGGAACAGAACCUGCCCCAACAACAUCAUCAGGGCCUGUGGGUUUGGUAGGAGGCUGUGCAGUCUGCUCAUCCCCUCCACUCGUAUACACAUAUACACACACACCCAGCCAUUCACUAAGCUCUGGCUUAUGGACUACUUGCGUCUCACGGACCAUUUGUGUUAUCAGGACGUGGUGUUCAUUUUUUAUGAACAACGAAUAUAGUCCUAUAGUGUGUUAUGAAUUGUCUUUGAUCUGAGUACUCUUUAAUUCCUGAGUUGUAUUUUGUUUUCCUUGUGAAUUAUUGAAUUUCUCUGCAGAUUGGAAAUAUUUUGGGAUAUUGUUAUUGUUGUUUGUCUUUGUUUCACUUAAUACAUGGUACCAACACCAAAAUUAAAUGAUCUGUCUCCGUGUUAUUAUUUACUUUUUCAACACCUCCUUAAGAUGAAACUUUAUCUUCCGUAGCCCAAUCAUUAUUUAACUUUUUAUAGCUAUAUCCAUCUGCUAUUCUACUUGCGUCUCACGGACCAUUUGUGUUAUCAGGACGUGGUGUUCAUUUUUUAUGAACAACGAAUAUAGUCCUAUAGUGUGUUAUGAAUUGUCUUUGAUCUGAGUACUCUUUAAUUCCUGAGUUGUAUUUUGUUUUCCUUGUGAAUUAUUGAAUUUCUCUGCAGAUUGGAAAUAUUUUGGGAUAUUGUUAUUGUUGUUUGUCUUUGUUUCACUUAAUACAUGGUACCAACACCAAAAUUAAAUGAUCUGUCUCCGUGUUAUUAUUUACUUUUUCAACACCUCCUUAAGAUGAACUUUAUCUUCCGUAGCCCAAUCAUUAUUUAACUUUUUAUAGCUAUAUCCAUCUGCUAUUUAACACAUGCACCUCGUGUGUAUGCUACAUAAAUGUGGCGAGCCAGCCAGGAGGUCUUGGAAGGGUAUUUAAUAUACACAAUUUUGAACAUUCAGUCUCACCAAUAUUAAUUUGACCAUGAAUAUUUUUGAAACACUUGACAUUAAAAUAUCAAAUGCAGUAUUGGUCACAGAGUCCGGGGUUGCUGAUGAAGUGGAAGGGUUUCUCGAGCAGUAUGGUAGGAUAAA
rnacentral:lncRNA from 1 species